rnacentral:lncRNA from 1 species
AUUUUCUUGUCUAAGUCUUGGUAAUUGAUAUGGUUGAUACGGAAAGGAGCUCAUAAGUUGGAUCAGUUAAACCGAAUUGGACUCAUUACACAAGGUUAAGACAACCGGAUCGAAAGUCUUGGAGGUUUCACCUAAAAGGGUUCAGUUCUAAUGACUGAAUCCUAAAGAAUGGCCUCCUCCGGAAGCAAUCGAAUUGGCUAGACAGGUCCGGUCCUCAAGAUCGGACUUGAAGACAUGCAUGUUUUGUCUAAAUAAUUGGAUCCAGGGGGACAACCGGGCCAAGCGACCAAACUCCAAGUGCACGAACCAAUCCCAAUAUCCGAAUCCUGACUAAUGAGGGGUCCGGAUUGUUGAACAUAAACUUGAAAUGGAGUCCUAUAUCAGUUCAACCACUUGCAAAGGAAAAAAAAAAAUUGUAAUAUUUAAAAUGUAGGCUGG